GCAUAACGCGAAGAACCUUACCAGGUCUUGACAUCCCUCUGACCGUCCUAGAGAUAGGGCUUUCCUUCGGGACAGAGGAGACAGGUGGUGCAUGGUUGUCGUCAGCUCGUGUCGUGAGAUGUUGGGUUAAGUCCCGCAACGAGCGCAACCCUUGAGUCUAGUUGCCAGCACAUUAAGGUGGGCACUCUAGACUGACUGCCGGUGACAAACCGGAGGAAGGCGGGGAUGACGUCAAAUCAUCAUGCCCCUUAUGACCUGGGCUACACACGUACUACAAUGGCUGGUACAACGGGCUGCGAAACCGCGAGGUGGAGCCAAUCCCAACAAAGCCGGUCUCAGUUCGGAUUGCAGGCUGCAACUCGCCUGCAUGAAGUCGGAAUUGCUAGUAAUCGCGGAUCAGCAUGCCGCGGUGAAUACGUUCCCGGGUCUUGUACACACCG
rnacentral:rRNA from 1 species